CAUGCAAGUCGAACGAAGUAGCAAUACUUAGUGGCAGACGGGUGAGUAUAAUGUGGGAAUCUGCCUUUUGGUUUAGAAUAACUCGAGGAAACUUGAGCUAAUACUAGAUAAGCCCUUACGGGGAAAGCUUUAUGCGCCGAAAGAUGAGCCCGCACUUGAUUAGCUUGUUGGUGAGGUAAAAGCUCACCAAGGCAACGAUCAAUAGCUGUUCUUAGAGGAAGACCAGCCACAUUGGGACUGAGACACGGCCCAGACUCCUACGGGAGGCAGCAGUGGGGAAUCUUGCACAAUGGGGGCAACCCUGAUGCAGCGAUGCCGCGUGAGUGAAGAAGGCCUUUGGGUUGUAAAACUCUUUCGUCGAGGAAGAAAAUGACUGUACUCGAAUAAGAAGGUCCGGCUAACUUCGUGCCAGCAGCCGCGGUAAUACGAAGGGACCUAGCGUAGUUCGGAAUUACUGGGCUUAAAGAGCUCGUAGGUGGUUAAAGAAGUUGAUGGUGAAAUCCCAGAGCUUAACUCUGGAACUGCCAUCAAAACUUUUUAGCUAGAGUAUGAUAGAGGAAAGCAGAAUUUCUAGUGUAGAGGUGAAAUUCGUAGAUAUUAGAAGGAAUACCAAAAGCGAAGGCAACUUUCUGGAUCAUUAAUGACACUGAGGAGCGAAAGCAUGGGUAGCGAAGAGGAUUAGAUACCCUCGUAGUCCAUGCUGUAAACGAUGUGUGCCAGACGUUGGAAAUUUAAUUUUCAGUGUCGCAGCAAAAGCAUUAAGCACACCGCCUGGGGAGUACGACCGCAAGGUUAAAACUCAAAUGAAUUGACGGGGACCCGCACAAGCAGUGGCGCAUGUGGUUUAAUCGAAGAUACGCGCAGACCCUUACCAACUCUUGACAUGUUCGUCGCGACUCGUAGAGAUAUGAGUCUUCGGUUCGGCCGGACGAAACACAGGUGCUGCAUGGCUGUCGUCAGCUCGUGUCGUGAGAUGUUGGGUUAAGUCC
rnacentral:rRNA from 1 species